GACGAACGCUGGCGGCGUGCUUAACACAUGCAAGUCGAACGGAAAGGCCCUGCUUUUGUGGGGUGCUCGAGUGGCGAACGGGUGAGUAACACGCGAGUAACCUGCCCUUGACUGUGGGAUAACUUCAGGAAACUGGGGCUAAUACCGGAUAGGAGCUCCUGCUGCAUGGUGGGGGUUGGAAAGUUUCGGCGGUUGGGGAUGGACUCGCGGCUUAUCAGCUUGUUGGUGGGGUAGUGGAUUACCAAGGCUUUGACGGGUAGGCGGCCUGAGAGGGUGACCGGCGACCAGGGGCCUAAGAUACGGCGCAGACGCCUACGGGAGGCAGCAGUGGAGAAUCUUGCACAAUGGGCGGAAGCCUGAGGCAGCGGCGCCGCGUGCGGGAUGACGGCCUUCGGGUUGUAAACCGCUUUCGCAUGUGACGAAGCGUGAGUGACGGUAAUGGGUAAGGAAGCACCGGCUAACUACGUG
rnacentral:rRNA from 1 species